rnacentral:rRNA from 1 species
CGGUAAUUCCAGCUCCAAUAGCGUAUACUAAAGUUGUUGCAGUUAAAAAGCUCGUAGUUGGAUUUCUGCGCGGGUGGGGCGUCCGCCGGCCUCAGGUCGGGUUGGGCAGCAACGCCCACGCAUCCUGCUGCGAUCCGCGCUACCAUUCGUUUGGUGGCGUCGGGGACCAGCUCGAUUACUUUGAGAAAAUUUGAGUGUUCAAAGCAGGCAAUUGCCUUGAAAAUUCUAGCAUGGACUAAUGGUUAAGGACUUUGGUUCUAUUUCAUUGGCUUUCGGAACCGAAGUAAUGAUUGAUAGGGACAGUUGGGGGCGUCUGUAUUCUGAAGCGAGAGGUGAAAUUCUUAGACCUUCGGAAGACAAACAGCUGCGAAAGCGUUCGCCAAGGAUGUACCCUUUGAUCAAGAACGAAAGUUGGGGGAUCGAAGACGAUCAGAUACCGUCGUAGUCUCAACUAUAAACUAUACCAGCUAGGGAUCGGCCAACGUUGAUCUACAAAGACUUGGUCGGCACCUUAUGAGAAAUCAAUAGCAUUUGGGUUCCGGGGGGAGUAUGGUCGCAAGGCUGAAACUUAAAGGAAUUGACGGAAGGGCACCACCAGGCGUGGAGCCUGUGGCUUAAUUUGACUCAACACGGGGAAACUUACCAGGUCCAGACAUAGGAAGGAUUGACAGAUUGACAGCUCUUUCUUGAUUCUAUGGGUGGUGGUGCAUGGCCGUUCUUAGUUGGUGGAGUGAUUUGUCUGGUUAAUUCCGUUAACGAACGAGACCCCAGCCCGCUAAAUAGCGCGCGUGGCUCCUGGCCGCGGCGAGCUUCUUAGAGGGACUACGGUUCGCCAUAGACCGGGGAAGUUUGGGGCAAUAACAGGUCUGUGAUGCCCUUAGAUGUUCUGGGCCGCACACGGGCUACACUGACGCGUGCAACGAGCAUAUCAGCUGGCCCGAGAGGGCAUAGGCUAAUCUUGUGAACUCGCGUCGUGCUAGGGAUUGACCAUUGCAAUUGUUGGUCAUGCAACGAGGAAUGCCUUGUAAACGCGAGUCAUCAACUCGCAUUGAAUACGUCCCUGCUCUUUGUACACACCGCCC